rnacentral:rRNA from 1 species
UGGGGAAUAUUGCGCAAUGGGCGAAAGCCUGACGCAGCGACGCCGCGUGUGGGAUGACGGCCUUCGGGUUGUAAACCACUGUCGGGAGGGACGAAUGCCCCGCAAGGGGAGUGACGGUACCUCCAAAGGAAGCACCGGCUAACUCCGUGCCAGCAGCCGCGGUAAUACGGAGGGUGCAAGCGUUGUCCGGAAUCACUGGGCGUAAAGGGCGCGUAGGCGGCUCGGUAAGUAGGGGGUGAAAUCCUGCGGCUUAACCGCAGGGCUGCCUUCUAAACUGUCGAGCUCGAGCACGGUAGAGGCAGAUGGAAUUCCCGGUGUAGCGGUGGAAUGCGUAGAGAUCGGGAAGAACAUCAGUGGCGAAGGCGGUCUGCUGGGCCGUUGCUGACGCUGAGGCGCGACAGCGUGGGGAGCAAACAGG